rnacentral:rRNA from 1 species
ACAGGGAUAAGCCCAGCACCGAAGCCUGUGGCCGUUUGGCCCCUAGGCAAUGUGGUGUUCAGGUUAGCUCGCGGGGAUGCUGCUCCACCCUAAGUCCUAUAAUGAGUAAGGUUACUCGGACAUGGCCCACAGAGGGUGAAAGGCCCGUGGGGGUGGAGACUCAGAUUGGCCAGUAUCUCCCUGAGCAGACCUUGGAGUCGGGUUGUUUGUGAAUGCAGCCCAAAGCGGGUGGUAAACUCCAUCCAAGGCUAAAUACUUGCACGAGUCCGAUAGCGAACAAGUACCGUGAGGGAAAGUUGAAAAGUACUUUGAAGAGAGAGUAAACAGUGCGUGAAACCGCUCAGAGGUAAACGGGUGGAGUUGAACUGCAAGCUCUGAGGAUUCAGCUGGUGAGUUUGGCAUGAGCUUGGUCAUGUGGGUUGUGUGUUCGGGUCUGCUUAGCUGCAGGUCCUCGCCUUUGGUGGGGAUGCGCGUAUCGCUUAUCAAGCGUUGUGCGCCCGUUCUUCUCGGACCUGCUCGCCAGUGCACUUUCUCAGAGUGUUCACCACGACCGGCGUUGUCGUCUGGCUGGUGCGGUUAAACCGGCCUUGUAGGGUCCUUGUGGCCUUGCCUGGUCGGGAUGGCAGGUAGCCCGUUGUGUACUUCGGUGUGCUUCGGGUGUAAUAGCCGACUGCAUCGGUUCUGUGCGAUAUGUCGGAGACGGCGGCUUGUUGUGCGUGCGGGCGUGCCUGUUGCGCUGGCGGAUCUGGGUCUGGUUGCCUUGUUGCUUGUAAAUGC